rnacentral:rRNA from 1 species
AUUGAACGCUGGCGGCAGGCCUAACACAUGCAAGUCGAGCGGAUGAAGGGAGCUUGCUCCUGGAUUCAGCGGCGGACGGGUGAGUAAUGCCUAGGAAUCUGCCUGGUAGUGGGGGAUAACGUCCGGAAACGGGCGCUAAUACCGCAUACGUCCUGAGGGAGAAAGUGGGGGAUCUUUGGACCUCACGCUAUCAGAUGAGCCUAGGUCGGAUUAGCUAGUUGGUGGGGUAAAGGCCUACCAAGGCGACGAUCCGUAACUGGUCUGAGAGGAUGAUCAGUCACACUAGAACUGAGACACGGUCCAGGCUACUACGGGAGGCAGCAGUGGGGAAUAUUGGACAAUGGGCGAAAGCCUGAUCCAGCCAUGCCGCGUGUGUGAAGAAGGUCUUCGGAGUGUAAAGCACUUUAAGUUGGGAGGAAGGGCAGUAAGUUAAUACCUUGCUGUUUUGACGUUACCAACAGAAUAAGCACCGGCUAACUUCGUG